rnacentral:rRNA from 1 species
CACGUAGGCACCAAGCGUUGUCCGGAUUUAUUGGGCGUAAAGAGCUCGUAGGCGGUUCAGUAAGUCGGGUGUGAAAACUUUGGGCUUAACCCAAAGCGUGCAUCCGAUACUGCUGUGACUUGAGUUCGGUAGGGGAGUGGGGAAUUCCUAGUGUAGCGGUGAAAUGCGCAGAUAUUAGGAGGAACACCGGUGGCGAAGGCGCCACUCUGGGCCGAAACUGACGCUGAGGAGCGAAAGCAUGGGUAGCAAACAGGGAUUAAGAAAC